UACGGAGGGGGCUAGCGUUGUUCGGAAUUACUGGGCGUAAAGCGCACGUAGGCGGCUUUGCAAGUCAGAGGUGAAAGCCCGGGGCUCAACCCCGGAAUUGCCUUUGAGACUGCAUCGCUAGAAUUGUGGAGAGGUGAGUGGAAUUCCGAGUGUAGAGGUGAAAUUCGGUAGAUAUUCGGAAGAACACCAGUGGCGAAGGCGACUCACUGGACACAUAUUGACGCUGAGGUGCGAAAGCGUGGGGAGCAAACAGG
rnacentral:rRNA from 1 species